rnacentral:rRNA from 1 species
UACGUAGGGUCCGAGCGUUGUCCGGAAUUAUUGGGCGUAAAGAGCUCGUAGGCGGUUUGUCGCGUCUGCCGUGAAAGUCCGGGGCUCAACUCCGGAUCUGCGGUGGGUACGGGCAGACUAGAGUGAUGUAGGGGAGACUGGAAUUCCAGGUGUAGCGGUGAAAUGCGUAGAUAUCUGGAGGAACACCGGUGGCGAAGGCGGCAUCCUGGACCGGCAUUGACGCUGAGGCGCGAAGGCCAGGGGAGCAAACGGG